UUUCAUGAAGGACAAUUUUUCCACAGCCUGGAGAAGGGGGUGGGGCAGCAGACCUCUAUGGGGCAGCAGACCUCCCUAACAGUCCACAGAUGGUACUGGUUCAUGGCCCCAGGGGUUGGGGGCCCCAGGUGUAAAGGAUAUUUAGUGCUAUGGACAAUCUACAUAUUUAAGAGACUUUAUAAUAUCGUGUCUAGCAUGAAAUCUCUGUUCUGUUUUAAAUAUACCUUUCAUUUGUUGAGGAGCUACAGCUGAGGCUUUGGGAGGGGGAAUUGAUAAAAAUAGCUCUGGGCUAUGUCUUCAUAUUUUAAAAAUAAGAGUGAGCCUUGGUAGUAUGUGUCAUCUUCCUUUGAGAAAACAAAUGUUGGUUGCAACAGAAAAGCAACCAACAUUUCUACCAUCAGACUCAGCUUUGUUGUGCUUAAUCAUCCUUUAAUAGAGCAAGAUCCUCCCCUUCUCCCUCUCUCACUCCUCAUGCCUUGUUCCCUGGGGGAGCGAGCACUUCAUUCAGGAAUACUUGUUUGCUCCUGUUAAAGGAUAAAGACGAAGACAGGAAGGUUAAGCAGCAAACCUAGAUCUCUUGCACACGGCAGCCUGUGAGACUGGGAGGCAGACAGGCCUGGAUGCAAACUCAGACUUGGCUACUUACUGCGUGAUGCUGAAUACAACACUCGACAUUUUAAAGUUUUGAUUUUUUUUCAUCUGUAAAGUUGAGAUGGCAACAUCACCCAGAGCUGUUUGGAGUGUUACAGGAUAUCAUCUAUGUAAAGAAUAGGAGGUCCUUUCAGCUUGGCUGGCCUCACGCAGGGAGAGCACUCAUCUCAUAGGCAGUGCCUACCUGUCGUAUGUGCCCAGAUUCAAGGUGACAAGUUUGUCUUCUCCCUUCUCUCAUCUUCCAUAUUUAAUUGUGUGUUUGUUCCAAGCACCCUAUUUUCUUUGGAGAACUUACCUUAGAAAGAGGAAAGAGUGUGCAUGAAAAAGCACCAGCACAGAAGGAGCGAGGGAGCUGGCUAGCCCUGCCCAUGGCUGGCUUGGCCCCCGGAGGGUGACGGGAAAGAGUAUCAACUGGCAAUCAGAAACAGUGCCAUGUAAACACUCAGGCACGGAUCUCCUCAUCCAAGAAACUACUCUGAACGUCAAGUGCAUCAUAUUUGCUGAGGCAGGACCAGAGACCAGCCAAACGCCAGGCCCUGCCAAUGCAAGGACGAAGUGUUACCGUUGUUUUCCCUGCUCGUUGAUAUCCGGUUUAUCGGAGGUGACAUUUCUCCUAGUGCUAGAGGGAAACAAACAUGUCUUCGCCCUUCUCUGGCUCUUGGUAUCGAGUUUAGUUUUACAACAGAAGAACCUGAAGUUGUUCUAAAGGCCUGUCUAUGCCAACGUAAAUUCCAGAAAGAAAAAUCCAUGAGUCAAAGCCCACGGUUAGGUGACGAUGAACCCUGAGCACGAUUUGGCAUUUGGGCCUCCUGGAUGGUCAAGAACCCUGCCCUUUCCAGAGUAGCAGGAGGGAUGGCAGUGACCAGCUGCCUCUGGAAAUUCUGAUCUAGCUUCCUGAGAAUUUGCACAGCCCGCUCUGGGCAGCAACUCCACCCUGGGUGAUGCCUCUGAGCUCAAUGUGUCUUUUGCUGAAUACUGUAUAUUAUUCUAGCUGCAAACUCAACCAUGAGGCCCAGGGCCAGUGAUGAUCCUAUUUCUGUUGAGAAGAGUCAGGAACACUUUCCAUUUAAUCCUGUCUCAGAUAACAUGCAGAUGCUUUAACCCAUAAAAAUAAAUCCAAUUCUUUGCCUAA